UACGUAGGGUGCAAGCGUUGUCCGGAAUUAUUGUGCGUAAAGAGCUCGUAGGCGGUUUGUCGCGUCUGCUGUGAAAACUCGGGGCUUAACUCCGGGCCUGCAGUGGGUACGGGCAGACUAGAGUGCGGUAGGGGAGACUGGAAUUCCUGGUGUAGCGGUGGAAUGCGCAGAUAUCAGGAGGAACACCGAUGGCGAAGGCAGAUCUCUGGGCCGUAACUGACGCUGAGGAGCGAAAGCAUGGGGAGCGAACAGG
rnacentral:rRNA from 1 species